rnacentral:rRNA from 1 species
GACGAACCGUGCGAACGUUAUUCGGAAUCACUGGGCUUAAAGGGCGCGUAGGCGGGCGGACAAGUCAGGGGUGAAAUCGUUCGGCCCAACCGGACAAGGGCCCCUGAUACUGGCCGUCUCGAGGGAGGUAGGGGUCGAUGGAACUUCCGGUGGAGCGGUGAAAUGCGUAGAUAUCGGAAGGAACGCCGGUGGCGAAAGCGAUCGACUGGACCUCUUCUGACGGCUGAGGCGCGAAAGCCAGGGGAGCAAACGGG